rnacentral:rRNA from 1 species
UACAGAGGUCUCAAGCGCUGUUCGGAUUCAUUGGGCGUGAAGGGUGCGUAGGCGGCGCGGUAAGUCGGGUGUGAAAUCUUGGAGCUUAACUCCGAAACUGCAUUCGAUACUGCCGUGCUUGAGGACUGGAGAGGAGACUGGAAUUUACGGUGUAGCGGUGAAAUGCGUAGAUAUCGUAAGGAAGACCAGUGGCGAAGGCGGGUCUCUGGACAGUUCCUGACGCUGAGGCACGAAGGCCAGGGGAGCAAACGGG